GCGAGGUCGUUGCGUGUUGGCUCGGCUCCGGUGGUCUGUGUGCCGGGCUGGUGGCUUCCUCCUGGGACUUUGGCCCAGGGGGAAGGGGGUCUGGACACAGUUGCUAUGUUUUAGAGUUUGCAUCCGUUGCUUGAUUUUUCUCGAGGCAGGAAGAGGGUCUCGUGACACUUGUGUUCUGGACGGAUGCGUGACUGCUCCUGCGGAGCGGUCGAAGUCUCAUGAGUUAAUUUUGUUAGAUUCUCCAGAAAGGACUAGAGUCAGGGAAUUGACUCCGAUAGAGUCCUUGAGGCUUUCGCAGAGGUAAUAGUGUCCUACCGGAAGUCGUAGACGGCCCCAAAUUUUUUUUCUCCUAAGAUUAGGAUAAUAUUUUAACUGGGUUGUGAGCUUUAAAGAAAGUACUCUCAACUGGGUGUGGUGGCGCCCGCUUUAUUUCCAGUGCUGGGGAGGAAGGGGCAGACGGGUCUGUGAUUCUGAAGCCAAGUUCCAUAGACAUCCAAUCUCAAAAUAACAAAAAACAUAAAAUCUGCUACCCUA
rnacentral:lncRNA from 1 species